rnacentral:antisense_RNA from 1 species
GCCAGGGCUUUCUGCAGCUGCCCCACGCGGCUCUGGGCCCGGGCACACCUGCACUCUGCCUCGCUCAGCCGGCUGCUCAGGGUCGCCAUCUGGACACGGGAGUCAUCCUGGGCAGAAGGACUGAGCCCAGCCUGGCAUCUCUGCCACCUGCUGUGAGGGCUGUGCCGUCCAGCCCAGCUGCCCCACAGGGGCCUUUCUAGAGCCCCAGCCAGGCCCUUGGCCUCCCUCUGCUCCUCAGCUCUGCACCACCUCCUGGAGGCCACCUGUGACCUAUCUUGCCUGCUGGAUGGGAACUCCCUGUGGGCAGGGACAGAUGGUGGCCCGCAGCUCGCUGUUAAAAAGCAACAGUACGUCCUUCUCGCGGGCCUCGUCGCUCAGCGCCCGGCGGGCCUCCUGGGCCUCCUUGUGCAGCCCCUCCUGGCUCUCCUCGACGCCCUGCAGCUGCUGGCGCAGUGCAGCCAGUCCCUCCUGGGCCACGGUCAGCUGUGCUCGCAGCCUCUCGGCCUGGGGAGGAGCAUUCAGCUCUAGAGGCCAGCUGGGGACUGCUGCUCCAGGGAUAUAGCCACAGGGCCCUGUGGCCUCUGACGUGGUGUGGCAGGCACAGGUGCCCUGCCCAACUUGGUCCCCAUGCGCUUUGCUCACCCCAUGGAGCCACCAAUCCCUACUGCUGCAGAGGCUGCAGGGCGGCUUCCACGGGCUGAGGCAGGGCCAGCCUAAGAGCCAAGAAGACCCCACCUUGAGCCCCUGGGCCCGGCCCCACCCUACGGCCUCCCUGGACCCCCAGGACGCUGACCACUGCCGCUAGGUCCCGGAGGCUCUUGCAUAGGGCCGUGGUCUCCCUCUGAUGGGCCGUGAUGGCGUCCUCAAACUGGGCCUGGAGGGCCUUCAGCUCCUCAGUCGUGGCACUGAUGGUGGCCUGCGGGGAGAAGGGAGCCCACAGUGGCACCAGGGAGCUGGGCCCAGCAGUGGAGGGUGAGGCUGCUGGGAUGAGGAGACGUCCACGGCCCCUGCCGGCUGUGAUGUCGCCCUCUCCCACUGCGCAGUGCCCUGGGGAUGGGGCGUAAGCCCUCCACCCCAGCUCCGAGUCACCGAGCAUCCCCCAAGGCCCUGUUGCCUGGACGCCCCGGCCCCCCAGCAGGCGGCCUGCACAUGCCUCUGUGCAGUCAGUGAGAAGGGCUCCCGUUCAGAAUGGGCAGAGAAGGGGCCUGUCUCCUGCACCUGGCACCAUGGCCUGUGUUCUGUUCACUGCACACUGAACCGUACAUUCAAUGCCAGUCAGGACUCAAUGUGGGUGUCCUUUCCUGCCGAAAGUUUCCUCGGGUGCAGGGCCAGCCGCCUUGGGUUCAGUUUCUCCUUUGGAAGGAUCUCUCUGGGACAGGGCCUGAACAGGACGGGGCAACACUUGCUGCAUUGCAGAGAAGGAAGCUUAAAAGCCCGAAAAUGCUCCAUCUCCCUGAUGGUGUGGGAGACGCGUGUGAGCGAGACACCCUCAGCUCCAAGGGUGGCACGCUGCUCUGUGGAUCAGGCUGUGGAAGCAAUGCCUGUCAAAUCCACACGUGUAUAUUCUCUCUAUGCCCAGGCCCAUCUGGGGGAGGGCAGCCCAGAGACAUGCGUGCACCUGUGUGGGCUGACCUAUGCGCAGUGUCACCAAUGUCUGUGACAUUGUUGUAACGACAACAAAGCUGGAGGCCACCCAGACGCCCAUGGAAGGAAGAACGGCGCAGAAAGACCCAGUCCUGGCAGCUCAGCAUGCAGCCCAGAAACAGAAGAACAAAGCUGCAGAUACACAGCUGGGAAAGGCCACCGAGAUGCUUUGAUAAUUGAGAAGAGGAAAGCCCAGGAGCCGGCAUGGAUUUUUCAUUCCUUUUGUAUUAAAAAUGCGGUGUUGGGGAGGUAACGCUGUAUAUUUCUGUUUGCAAGCAAUCUUUGGAGGGUGUUGCAUAACAGAAGAUGUAUCAGGUCUUUGUCCUGGGUCCUUGGAGGAAGCUUCUAAACCCUGGGGGUUUCUCCAAAGUGUGGAGUGUCGGCAUUAUUCCUGGCGGGCCCCUGGGACCACACCUGAGUUUAUGCUAAUGAGGUGACUCAGGAUGGGCUCCUACUGAAUUUUAGGAUGGGGACUGUCUGCUGAAAGACCCAUUAUUAGAGGGUUGGGGCUUUGAGCCACGGGAUGUCAGCGCAACCUCCCAGCAGUCAGAGAAGUGGGCUUCAAUCACGUAACCAAUCACUCCACCGAUCAUGUUACACGGUGAAACCCCAAUAAAACUCUGGACACCAAAA